rnacentral:rRNA from 1 species
GACCUCGCGCGAUUGGAGCGGCCGAUAUCAGAUUAGGGUAGUUGGUGAGGUAAAAGGCUCACCAAGCCGACGAUCUGUAGCUGGUCUGAGAGGACGACCAGCCACACUGGGACUGAGACACGGCCCAGACUCCUACGGGAGGCAGCAGUGGGGGAUUUUGGACAAUGGGCGCAAGCCUGAUCCAGCAAUGCCGCGUGCAGGAUGAAGGCCUUCGGGUUGUAAACCGCUUUUGUACGGAACGAAACGGUGAGCUCUAAUACAGUUUGCUAAUGACGGUACCGUAAGAAUAAGCACCGGCUAACUACGUG